rnacentral:rRNA from 1 species
AGUGAACGCUGGCGGUAGGCCUAACACAUGCAAGUCGAACGGCAGCACAGGAGAGCUUGCUCUCUGGGUGGCGAGUGGCGGACGGGUGAGGAAUACAUCGGAAUCUACUCUGUCGUGGGGGAUAACGUAGGGAAACUUACGCUAAUACCGCAUACGACCUACGGGUGAAAGCAGGGGAUCUUCGGACCUUGCGCGAUUGAAUGAGCCGAUGUCGGAUUAGCUAGUUGGCGGGGGAAAGGCCCACCAAGGCGACGAUCCGUAGCUGGUCUGAGAGGAUGCUCAGCCACACUGGAACGGAGCCACGGUCCAGAAUCCUACGGGAGGCAGCAGUGGGGAAUAUUGGACAAUGGGCGCAAGCCUGAUCCAGCCAUACCGCGUGGGUGAAGAAGGCCUUCGGGUUGUAAAGCCCUUUUGUUGGGAAAGAAAUCCAGCUGGCUAAUACCCGGUUGGGAUGACGGUACCCAAAGAAUAAGCACCGGCUAACUUCGUGCCAGCCGCCGCGGUAA